GAGGGCAUAGCUCAGUGGCUGAGUGCAUGCCUAGCAUGCACAAGGUCCUGGGUUCAAUUCUCAGUACCUACA
rnacentral:tRNA from 1 species